UUUUUUUAAAAGAGAUGUUACCCUCUGAUUUCAUCUAGUCUUGCUAUAUUGAUGAAUGUGCUUAGGGUUAGAGUUAGCGUUAGGGUUAGGGUUAGGGUUGUACUGUGUCCAUUCAAUUUUCCACAAGGAAAUGUACAACCAAGGUUUAAACAGAAACUUUUGAUUGAUGGUAUCUUAGACUCGACAAAAUAUAGCAUUCUUAAGAAUAUUUACCUAUUUAUCAAUAGGUGAAAAGUGAUCAUUAACUAUUGUAUUUCAUUAAUCUAUUUUAUUCACUUAUGAAACUUUAGAAUAAAUCCAUAUCUAAAUAAAGUCUGUUUCAUGUCUCAAUCCCAAUGUACUAUUAGUAUUCAGUCAUUGAGACUAUUCUUUCCUGAAUCAGUGUUUCGCUUCAAUGGGUAGGCACACAUGGAUUCGAAUGGACUUUCUGGUAUAGAAGUAAUUUGUAUAUGCAGAUUUUUCUAAAAUGCUUCAAACAAAUAUAAGCUUUGAUACAUCUGAUUAAAUAAAGCGUUGAAAACAACAAAAAAAAAUCAAGCUGUAAAUAAACCUUGGGAGAAUUUGAUUGCCUUUGGUGUACAAAGAUCUCUAUUUUGCACGAAAUUGCCAAUGAGACAGAGGCAACAGCUGCAGUCUCUUUUGUUUGGUUAUUUAUUUAGCUAUUUAUUUACUUUUCUAACCUGAUCCAUUUUCUGCCUUGAACACGAGGAAAUCUGAGACUCUAAGCCAAACAGUGAUUUAAAAAAAAAAAAAAGAUUUUUAUUUAUUUAUUCAUGAGAGACACAGAGGCAGAGACAUAGGCAGAGGGAGCAGCAGACUCCCUGAGGAGAGCCUGAUGCAGGACUUUACCCCAGGACCCCGGGAUUUCGACCUGAGCCAAAGGCAGCAGAUACUCAACCAUUGAGCCACCCAGGUGCCCCCAACCAGUGAUUUUGAAAGUUGGUUCACUUUUACUGCUUCUAUUUGAAUGGAGGGAUAGUGGAAUGGAGGGAUGAUGAAGCUAAGGGAUCAAGAUUCUAAGAAGCAAUGACAAAGUCUAAAGUCUUCAUCUGAGGAAAGGAUACCUCUUUUCCUCACACUGUGAAGAUACAAGCUUUUGUCAUCAGUUCACAGAGCAGGGCUUUGAACAUUUCUUUUCUUGCUUUUUUGAUACUAAUUUUACUUUCAUUUUUUUCAUUAUAUCUUCUUCCAGAACUCUCAUUGUAACUCUUAACAUUUUAAUCCCCUUCUUUUGUGGAACUAAUUUUGGUUAUAUUGCUCUAAUAAAAACAAUAAAAGCAGGAGAACUUACAAUUUGAUUUAGACCUACAUAUCUAUUCUUUUAAAGCUAAUUUUCCAAGUUGUUAUUAUUUAUUGAUUGUGUCUGUAUUCUUCCCUUUCAGCUCCAAACCAUGCUGGUUUUGCUAAAUUUUCUAAUUGAAAUACAAGACAUAGAAUCUAAUAGAAUUACUUACACACACUUAUAAACUUUGAAAUCUUUAAAAGAGAACAUUAGUUGCAUUGUACCCAUAGGAAUAGAUGAAAUCAGAAUCUUAUGAUAGAAUAGCAUUUGAAGAUAGUAUUAAUAUCUCUUUCCACCCGACUCAGUCCCUUAUACAGCUGAGAUUUAAAGCAAGCUUUUGUAGAUAAACCCUGGUGAAUGGUUAAAGUAAGAUAUUUUUAAAAGACAAGUGAAAUGAUUAAUCUCCAGGGUUUUAAAACAAAUGAAUCAGACUCUAGUCUCUGACUUUACCCAGCUAUGUAACCUUAGAUAACUCUGAACCUUAGUUCCUGCAUAUUGUGAUGGAGGCUAUUGCAUUUUUACCUCCUCUACAUGGAACAUUCAAAAAAAUAAUAUUGUCUUGAGUUUAUAAUGUUAUGCUAAGAUUCAGAGCUAACUGGUACAUUUUCUUUUACUUUUGUUAAAUACAUUCAUUUUUAAAGGACUAAAAACAUCAGAGUUUUAUAGUUUUCAUGUUACAUUGUGUGAUGUUUCUCAUGUUUCUUCUAUUUACUAGAAUAGAUGAUGGGCACUGCAAAUAAAACUUGAAUUAGUAAGAGGUAAAUGUUUCAAAAGGACACAAGGUGAGGAAGUUCUAUUUUCUUAUAGAAUUUAAGUACUUCUAACAGCUUUUAGAUUUUCUUGAUGUGAAACUUUGUUAGUCCAAAGCAAGAGAAAAAUUGAGUGGCUUUCCUAGACCUAAAACUAAUAAACACAAUCUUUGAGUGUAUUAUAUUGUUUUUUUAAAAACAAAAGUUGUUUUCAGCUAUCCCAAAUGUGUUUUAGUGGCAGAUAGGCUUUCAUGAUGCAGAAUCAUGCAAGCUUCCUCUUUAGGCUGUUUUUGUUGCUGUUGUUGUUGUUGUUUUUCAGUCAGGAAUGUUUUGCUGAUUUUGUGAAACGAGAUAUUGGUAUUAGUGUUUUUGUGUAAGAGCUUGAAGGAAACAGUUGACUAUUUACAUUGUUUCUAAAGCUAUCGGACUGAGGAGAUGAAAAAUUUCUAGCAAAAUUAAAAAUAUAUUACUUAUGUCAAUAGUCAAAUGAUUUCUACAUCAUCAAAAAACCCAAUAUAUUUAAGGAGGAAAUGACUACAAUUUUAAUCUUGUCACCAUCUUUCACCUACUAAUGUAGGGGACAUAAAUCAAAUACCAUAUGGAUUGAACUAUGACCCCUGGACAAGUAUGUUGAAGUCCAAACCAUUAAUAUUCAUGAAAGUGACCUCAUUUGGAAGUUAUACCUCAUUUACAGGUGUAAUCAAAGGUCAUUAAAGGUGAGCUGUAACACAAUAUGACUGAUGUCCUUAUGAGAAUAGACAAAUACAUGAGGGGUGAACACACAGGCAGAGACUGAAGUAAUAAGACUACAAGCCAAGGGAUGCUGAGGGCUGCAAGCAAACCACCAGAAAGUAGUAGAGAGGCUAUGAAGAAUUUCCCCCCUGUUUCAGAAUGAGCAUUACCCUGCCAUCACCUUGAUUUCAGAUUUCUAGCCUUCAGAAAUGUGAGACAGUAUAUUUCUGUCAUUUCAAGUUGUAUAUUUUCUUAUAGUUUGGCUGGGUGGCCCUAGAAAACUGACAUAUACCUCCAGGUCUCCAUUAAAAAUAAAUUUGUUUUUUUGUUUUUAAGAUUUUAUUUAUUUGUUCAUGAGAAACACAGAGAGAGACAGAGAGAGACAGAGAGAGAGAGGCAGAGACACAGGCAGAGGGAGAAGCAGGCUCCAUGCAGGGAGCCUGAUGUGGGACCCCAUCCCAGGUCUCCAGGAUCAUGCCCUGGACUGAAGGUGGCGCUAAACCGCUGAGCCAUCCAGGCUGUCCAUAAAUUUGGUUUUAAUUAUGGUUUAAAUUAGGUUUUUUCAAAGUAGAAUAUGACUCAAUCAUAGGGAACAAACUGAUGGUUACCAGAAGGGAAGUGGGUGAGGGUGAUGGGAGAAAUAGGUGAUGGGGAUUAAGGAGCACACUUGGGAAGAGCACUGGGUAUUUCAUAGAAUUGUGGAGUCCCCGAAUUAUACAUCUGAAACUAACAUAAUACUGUAUGUUAACUACCCUGGAAUGAAAAUUAAAACAAUAAAAAGACCCUUAACAACAACAACAAAUUAUAAAUGAAUAUUGAACUUCAGGUAAUUGCAUAUAUGUUAAGGUAUUUAAGGAAAAGUAUAAUGAUGUCUGCAAAAGUCCUUUAAAAUAUAAAAUAAUAGGGUUUGAAUUAUAGGUAGAUGAAAAGAUGAAUAAUAAAGCAAAUGUAGUAAAAUGUUGAGUGGAAUAUGUUAAUGUGCCUAUAGGGAUACUAAAAAUUCUUUCCAAUUUUCAUCAUGUUCUAUAGUUUUCAUUAUAAAAUUAUGUAUUUGAAGAAAAACUCAUACACAUAAAUGCAUAGUGUCCAGAGUAUGUUUUCCUAAUAGUCAUAAUGAAAAAUACUUCUAUAUUUAGAAAUUUUCAACCAUAUUGCUUCCUGAGCCACUCAUCAUAAUUGCUUAACAUAUAAAAUAUUCAUUGAGCUCAAAACAGAAAACCAUCACUUAAGAUAAAAUAUUGUCACUAAUAGAUUCUACUAGAACAUCUGUAUUUAUCACAAGAUCUGUAUAUUACAUACUAAUGAAUAGAGUGUUUUACAUUUACAGUUGUCUCAUACUGAUCAUAAGAAAUUAAUACUAUGUUGUAGUAAAUUUAUAGUUAUUAACUAGAAGCUUUGGGGGUGUAUUGCAUAAGUUAUAUAUUUCUUCAUCACUACAUUGCUUAUAAUAUUACGGUAAUCUUAUUUAACAUACUACUUACCACAUAGUGGAUUUUAAAGAAAUAUCUGUGGAAGGAAAGGAUAGAUAAAUGCAUCCCAUUCUAAAUGAUAAGAACUAUCACUAUCAAAAAAAAAAAAAAAAA
rnacentral:lncRNA from 1 species